rnacentral:piRNA from 1 species
UAGACUAGGUGCCAAAGCAGAGCAUUAAGGCC